rnacentral:rRNA from 1 species
UACGUAGGGGGCAAGCGUUGUCCGGAUUUAUUGGGCGUAAAGAGCGUGUAGGCGGCCAGGGAGGUCCGUUGUGAAAACUCGAGGCUCAACCUCGAGAGGUCGGUGGAAACCGUGUGGCUAGAGUCCGGAAGAGGAGAGUGGAAUUCCCGGUGUAGCGGUGAAAUGCGCAGAUAUCGGGAAGAACACCCGUGGCGAAGGCGGCUCUCUGGGACGGUACUGACGCUGAGACGCGAAAGCGUGGGGAGCGAACAGG